UACGGAGGGCGCAAGCGUUGUUCGGAAUCAUUGGGCGUAAAGCGCGUGUAGGCGGUCUGGUCAGUCGGGUGUGAAAGCCCGGAGCUCAACUCCGGAACUGCAUUCGAUACUGCCAGGCUAGAGACCCGGAGAGGGUGGUGGAAUUCCCGGUGUAGAGGUGAAAUUCGUAGAUAUCGGGAGGAACACCAGUGGCGAAGGCGGCCACCUGGACGGUGACUGACGCUGAGACGCGAAAGCGUGGGGAGCAAACAGG
rnacentral:rRNA from 1 species